AUGCCAAUGAUAUCCCUGCAGGAUGAAACUGAAAUGGAAAGCUUCUGGGCUGAAAUGGCAACCCGGAAACAUAAGGUGACAGGAGCCAACGAAUUUCAGAGGCUUGCUGCCGUUGCCAAGCUGGUCCUGGUGUUGCCCCAUUUCAACGCAGACGCUGAGAGGGUGUUUUCAGUUGUGGGACUUAACAAAACAAAGACCAGAAACAGCCUAGCACUGAAUGGCACCCUGUCCUCAAUAAUGACCAUAAAGAUGGCCGACCUGGAGCCCUGUUUCAAAUGGGAGCCCCCCUCAGAUGUCCUCAAGGCCUCCAAGAAGGCCACAGGCCAGUAUAACCGUGCCCACAGAUCAUAGACGAGGACUAGCUUCUGAUCUGCAUCUGAUACGGAUGACUUCAUUUUUUGUUAUUUUUGUAAUGCAUUCAUCUUUUAUUGCUUGAAAAAGUUGUACUGUUUAAGCACUGUUUCUAAUGGACCAUGUGGUGGGAGGCUUUGAAUGAAGAAUCAUUUAUCUCCCUAACUAAUCUUGUCGUUUUUGGCUGAACAUAAAUCAUUAAGUGCUCUUAAGAAUACAAUUAUUCACAACAUAGGUUAGGUUUCAGUUCAGAAUUUGUUUAAUACCAUUGUUGUGGUCAAAAUAUCAAUCAACCUACCUAGGUCAAAUCACUGGUCUAUGAAUAAGGCUAUAUUGUGACACAUAGGCAGUCAUUUAGGCACAACAAUAGUUUUCUGGUUUAAUGUCCAACUCCAGACUAGGCCCUACAAGUCCUGAUGCCAAACAUGAAUCAGAAUAAGUUCAGGUAUUGCACAUCUUUGGCAGACCACCCAAAAAUCCACUAUAAUGAAGGAAAUCACAUCUACUUGAUCCAACAUUUCCUUGGGAUGGACCUUCAGCUAUGUCUUUGCUUCACAUAAUGUAACCAAUAUUGCCCAUCUCCAGUGAGCCGCCCCUAUCAAUGGCUUGGGGCCUACCCACAAACCACCAAAAUGCAGGGUACAACAUGGGUUCAACAUCCAAUUAAAUAAAAUUCUCUCAAAUCUGAGCCUGCGUUGUCAGGGGUACCCCCGACAAAAUCUCACUCCAAGAUUUUUUGAAAAGUUGGCAGCUCUGACUAAAGUGAGAUCAUCGUUGUGUUGUGUACUAAAGUGAGACCAUCGUUGGGUUGUGUACUAAAGUGAGAUCAUCAUUGUGUUGUAUUGUGUACUAAAGUGAGAUCAUCGUAAGGGUUGUGUACUAAAGUGAGACCAUCGUUGGGUUGUGUACUAAAGUGAGACCAUCGUUGGGUUGUGUACUAAAGUGAGACCAUCGUUGGGUUGUGUACUAAAGUGAGACCAUCGUUGGGUUGUGUACUAAAGUGAGAUCAUCAUUGUGUUGUGUACUAAAGUGAGACCAUCGUUGGGUUGUGUACUAAAGUGAGAUCAUCGUUGUGUUGUGUACUAAAGUGAGACCAUCGUUGGGUUGUGUACUAAAGUGAGAUCAUCGUUGUGUUGUGUACUAAAGUGAGAUCAUCGUUGUGUUGUGUACUAAAGUGAGAUCAUCGUUGUGUUGUGUACUAAAGUGAGAUCAUCAUUGUGUUGUGUUGUGAACUAAAGUGAGAUCAUCGUUGUGUUGUGUACUAAAGUGAGAUCAUCAUUGUGUUGUGUUGUGUUCCCCUAGGUGGAGCAGGGUGAAGAGUCAACACCGUCACCAGCGUCAUAACACCUAAACUGCCAAUACAUAAAAUGGCGUACAGUGAAGUAAGACCUGUAAUGGUGUCGGGAGAUUCUAGAGAUAGGAGAGCCUCACCGCCCACGGUGUCCAUGGUUACGCACAUGGACACCGGCAUGGACACACACGCACUUAAAUCGUGUGUGUGUGUGUGUGUGUGUGUGUGUGUGUGUGUGUGUGUGUGUGUGUGUGUGUGUGUGUGUGUGUGUGUGUGUGUGUGUGUGUGUGUGUGUGUGUGUGUGUGUGUGUGUGUGUGUGAGCACUCUGUACCCUGAAUACUCUGUCCACUCUGAGUAUUCUGCACUCUGACAGAGAGCUCAGAGCUCUCUGUCCAUGCUUCAAUAAGCUGAUUAUAAUUUAUCACUGAGUGAGGUCAUGGAUCAGCCGCCUUUUCGAGGUUAGUCUGGGUGGAGUUUGAACUGGGAGGGGAACUGGUCCAACAGGAAGAAGACUAAGAUACUGUAGUCCACUAUUAUCUGUGGUAGAUCAUAAAUGUGAAUAACUGAAUCCUAUCAGUAGGUUGAAUAUUUUUAAGAUUCCUGCUCUACAGGAUGCUACGUGUUAGACUGUGGGCAUUGGGGAUCGAACUUCUUGUGCCUUCUUGCGUCCUUGGGUGACUUUAAAGGUACUUGGGACAGAAUGAACUGUUGUUAUAUUUGUAGUCCGGUAUUAUGGUAACAUUAUUUUAACGGGAAUCUUGGUUAGUGAAGACGUUUAAAAGUCUACUCUUACCGGGGCUUGUACUCUGAGGGUCUGCAUCACAGAUCUGGUUGUGAUGUCACACCACAUGAGGAAGUCCAUGUAUGGUCCUGCCUUCAGAGCGGUUUAACCAGCACAGGGAGCAGUUGGUAUGAUAUCCGCACGGUGAACUUGAUCUAAUCAGACACAUUUUGUAGCCUUUUGAAACCUUCUGUGUUGAAGUUACGUUAUUAAAUGUAUAUCAGGAAACUCUGGGAAUGAGAGGGUCUUUGAAUCUGCGUCUAGGAAAGACCACCCUGCCUCUGGUCCAAAGUUAACAGAGACAACAGCCCCCUGUGAGCGGAAUACACAGCUCAUAUAAAAGCAGAGUCUGGGAGGAGUAUGAACUGGGAGGGGAACUGGUCAAACUGGUUGGACAUCAUUUCCUUGAUAUGAGUCGGACGGUUUGGUGUGGCUCACUUCAUCACAGCAGGAAGACGACUCAGGUACUGUAGUCCACUCUGAUCCAUGAUAGAUCAUAAAUAUGAAUAUCUUUGAGUCUUGUCAAUAGGUUGAUGUCAGUUUCCUGUAAAACCACAGGGUUAAAAACGUAGUCAAUGUAUGGAUGCAUUGCUAUUUGUCAAAAUUACGAUUGAAUAAUUUAGAAGAUUCCUGUUCUGUAGAAUGCUACGUGUUAGACUGUGGGCUUUGGGGAUCGAACCCAGAACCUUUCAGCCUUGAGUCAAGCGUCAGGUUGAGGUUAAUAAUGACUGUUUCGUCUGAUUCAGCAUUGGUUCUUAAUCUCAAGUCCUGUGGUGGCUUUAAAGGUACUGAGGAUAGAAUGGACAGUGGUUAUAUUUGUAGUGGGGUAUUAUGAUUACAUUAUUUCAACAGGAAGACGGCCAUCUUGGUUAGUGAAGGUGUCUAAACGUCAUCUUGUACUGGGUCUUGUUCUCUGUGGGCCUGCAUCAUUCUGAAGUAGUGAAGGCCUACUCUAUAUCUGAGAGCAUCACUCGUAGGAGAGGGACAUGACCUUCGAGGUGAAUUAACACUGCCGCAACCGCCUCCUCACAGAAGUCACUGGUGACGACUGGUUUGUGUUCUUCAGCUCAGCCCAUCCCACUGACAUCCUCUCACCAGCAGGUGGUGCUGCAGUGCACCAUUUCAAGGGUUUCAAAACGGACCUAGCAAUAUGAUCCACUUUACUACCGCUGGAGUUGAUUGAAUCACAGACUGCAGAAGAUUAGACCAUUUGUGACUUUUUUUCUUUAUGUGUGUGUGUUUGUAUGAACCCUGAACCUUCCAGCCUGGAGUCAAGUGUCAGGAUGACGUUAAUAAUGACUUUUUCUUCUUUUGUCUCCUUGUGUCCUUGGGUGACUUUAAAGGUACUUAGGACAGAAUGAACUGUUGU
rnacentral:lncRNA from 1 species